rnacentral:rRNA from 1 species
AUACGGAGGGUGCAAGCGUUAAUCGGAAUUACUGGGCGUAAAGCGCACGCAGGCGGUUUGUUAAGUCAGAUGUGAAAUCCCCGGGCUCAACCUGGGAACUGCAUCUGAUACUGGCAAGCUUGAGUCUCGUAGAGGGGGGUAGAAUUCCAGGUGUAGCGGUGAAAUGCGUAGAGAUCUGGAGGAAUACCGGUGGCGAAGGCGGCCCCCGGAACGAAGACUGCCGCUCAGGUGCGAAAGCGUGGGGAGCAAACAGGAUUAGAUCCCCUGGUAGUCCACGCCGUAAACGAUGUCGACUUGGAGGUUGUGCCCUUGAGGCGUGGCUUCCGGAGCUAACGCGUUAAGUCGACCGCCUGGGGAGUACGGCCGCAAGGUUAAAACUCAAAUGAAUUGACGGGG